rnacentral:lncRNA from 10 species
CUCCCUUCCAUGAGCUAUGAAACCUUAGGCGAGUGGUUUAAAUGUUCCAGAACUCGGUUUCCACAUUUAAAACAUGAGUAUAAUAAGAUGACCUGCCCUAUCUUCAUCCACUUUUCAGAGUAAUGUGUCAAUAUUGCAAUGGAUGUGAAAGUGCUCUUUUUCCCUCACCUCCAUCUCUCUUUUUCUUUCUUUCUUUUUUUUUUAAUUUAAAAAUUACUUCAGAGACCACAACAGCCAAAAGAUACCUAACUUUUGGGCAAUUUUCUCAGAAUCACCCUUAACGUUUUACAGGAUGGGGGUUGUGGAAAUUUGGCUGAUUGAAUGAGUCUCCUCUCCGGGGCUCCAAAAACCCGGUAGAGCUGAUUUGCGCAGCGAAAGAAGCAUUCUGGGGGAAAAGCUUCACUUCCUCAAAGAGACAGGACAGAGGCAUCUUCAGCAGAGAACAUUGUUCUGCUUUUGGGGGAAACAAUGGCUGAAGAACAACUUCACACAGGAAGAGGCUGGGAUAAUUGAAUUCCUUGCGGAAUCACCUCUGCUUCUCAUGUCGUGGGUCAACGGUAGGAGUGGUUGCUAAGUGAAUGACCUUUGUGUUUCCACUGAACAAAUCUUCAAAGAGAAAAAAAAUACCUAUUCAGGAAUGAACAGAACACUUUGAAAAUGUCACAGGGGACUUGGAACCAACCCAAAUGUCCAUCAGUGAUAGACUGGAUUAAGAAAAUGUGUCACAUAUACACCAUGGAAUACUAUGCAGCCAUAAAAAUUGAUGAACUCAUGUCCUUUGUAGGAACAUGGAUGAAGCUGGAAACCGUCAUUCUCAGCAAACUAUUGCAAGGACAGAAAACCAAACACCACAUGUUCUCACUCAUAGGUGAGAAUUGAACAAUGAGAACACUUG